rnacentral:lncRNA from 12 species
GGCUUUUUUACCACCCACGGGGGAUUUCAGACCUACCCACUCUCACCUCAUUGGGAGCAGGGAAAUAAAAAAAGUGUUAAUGGACCUUUUUCUGCAGCUGAGAGGGACAGUUUAUGACAGAGGUGACAAACUUCAUUUUAAUGAGAGGCGAAUUCCGCUUUAAACUCCAGAUGUCACCCCCUCCUCGUCUGUGGAUCCGGGGCAUCGAAAGUGGAAGCCGAGGCGUCGGGCUGGGAGGAGGGAGGCCUGGGAAGAGGUCCCCUCCUGGCCUCCUGUUUCCUCGGCUCACACACGUCCCCCUCCCUUUAGGGGCGUGCUUAUGGCCUCCGCGGAUGGGAGGGGAAACUGAGGCAGAGGGAAGUUCAAAGGCUUGCCCCCCCCCCACUGCUUCAGUGGUGAAGGAAAACCUAAAUGAUAUAUAUAUUUUCUUAAUUCAUGUUUAUUUUUUAAAAAGAUUUUAUUUAUUUAUUCAUGAGACACACGGAGAGAGGCAGAGACCCAGGCAGAGGGAGACGCAGGCUCCGUGCAGGGAGCCCGAGGCGGGACUCGAUCCCGGGACCCCGGGGUCACGGCCUGAUGGAAGGCGGUGCUGAACCACUGAGCGCCCCGCGCUGCCCUGAAUGAUAUUUUCUAUUUGCUUAUGCGGUUGGCGUGUGACAUCUGAAUCUGGGUCGACACCAAGCGGUGUCCUCUUACCCCCCGUCUUCCUGCCUGACCUUGGGGGCGUGGGAGUCCAGCCAGGUCACUCCCAGGGGGGCAGGGAGCACGGGUCAGGGAAGGUGGGCCCGCUCCGGCCCAGAGCACCUGUGGUCACCCCGACCCAGGGGAGGGCCCCGGGUGGGGGGGCGGCGGGGCUCCCCGGCUUCUGGCGUGUGCAGCGGGGCCAGUGGGGACAUUCGCAGAGACAGGGACGCUGGCAGAGGGCGAGGGCCUCGGGGAGGACGGGGAGGAGGUGUGGGGGGGCUGUCCCUGGGGGACGGGACAGGGACGUCAGGGUUUUCGUGGGAACAAUCAGGCAGCUGACGUAUUCUUAUCCCCAUUUCGCGGAUGAUGGCUCUGCAGCUCAGGAAGGCCACCCAGCUGAGUGUCUCCCCAGCCAGGACAUGGACCCAGAGCCGUGGCCUCUCGAGGUGACCCCCCACCCUCGUCUAGGCUUACGGUUGAGAAGAGCAAUGCAUGAGCUGUGAACGGUGGGAUUUUAGGUGGGUGGCAUCUCCCAGUGUCACCGGCUUGGUCUUCACUCAGGGCCGCAUCUGGGUUCAGUUCCGGACCCUCCCCUUGUGCUGCACUUGCGGUGCUCUUGGUCCGGGGGCCUCGGCCACCCUGGGACGGUGGGAGGCAGCUCAGCUCUGCAGCCCAUAAUGCCAGGAAGGAUCUAGAAAAGUCUUUCAAUCGUUCAGCCUGAGAAGCGUCUAAAGUCAGCCUUGAGUGGAGGCAGAGGAGCCCCGGACGGGCUGGCUCCCUGGGGCUCUGCUACCUCCUACCCCCUUGCUGGACAUGGGAGGGGGCUUAGGACUUGCCGGGACUUGUCUACGGGGGCCCCUCCUCUGCUGGCUGGCUGGGGCGGUCAGAGGUAGCAAAAGCACCGGGCCAGGACGGGAGUCUUGGGGCUCCCAUUCACCCCCAGUGACCUCAGGGUCCCCGCCUGGACAGACAGCCCAGGAAAUGAGUGAGACCUGAGGCUUCUUCCCUCAGGCAUUCCAAGCUCUCCAUCUUCUGAGGUCCGAGAGGAAAAACAUACCAAAGGCCGCGACGGCAGGCUUGUGGUCAGGGGACAGAACUGGUCGGGGUGCCUAGGAAACAUGCCCAGGGUGAUGGGUGUGAACCUGGGGGCGGGGGGGGGGGGCGCCUUCCCGGAAGGUACGGGGAGGGUGUGAACAGGAGGCACAAGGGACCAGGGGGCACACAGGAAUGGGCUGGUUCAUGUGAAAAUUAAACCAGCAGGUUUUCCACGAGAGGAUGGGAACCCAGCAGCCCUCCUCGGGGCCGGCUAUGACAUUGGCCUCUGGUGUGGACUGGACGCAGUAGCUGGUGACUGGGGCGGGGCUCGGUGUGUGACCAGGGCCGGGGCUCAUGGAGGGCAGGAUCAGGGGUCAGUAGGUGAGCAGGAUGGGGGCUCGGUGUGUGGGUAGGAUCAGGGCUCAGUGUAUGGGUAGGAUCAGGGGUCAGUAGGUGAGCAGGAUGGGG